CAGAGCGGUGGGCCUCCGCUGCCCAGCGCGUCGGGCGGACUGCGGGCCUUUCGCGCCGGGUCCGCUUCCCGGGUGGUCCCUUCCCCGUCUUGGUCAGUGCCCCAGCUUCUGCGUGUGCUCACCUCCUCCUGGACGGCAAGCCCAUGGAACCAGUGUGCAGAGAGGCAUCCUCAGACCUCAACUAGAGCCGUGGUUACCGAACUCUAGGGCCGGCAAUGGACACCCAGCAAUGCUCAAUAAAUGUUGCGAAAGAAAGAUCAAAUGAAGCCCAACUUCCUGUUCCAUCAAUUGAUCCUAACAUUUUUGGAGAGGCUGGUGUAUUCAAGCACCACAUAGACGAGGCCUGAACCCCUGCAGCCCUCCCCUGAACCUGGCAGGUCUACUGAGAGAGGGAAGGGGAGAAGAGGGAGAGCAGUGCCCAGCAUAGCCAGGGGCAUCCCCAGCAGUGAAGCCAAGCUCCGUGAGAAGGAAGCAAUAAGAAGAGCAAAGCGAAGGUUGAAAAUUUAUAAUGAAGAUGUUAAGAAUCACUACACAGACGUCUGGAAAAAAAUGGUUAAAAAAAAAAAAGAGAAAAGAAAAAGCUUGAAAGUGAUGAUAAAAGGGUUUGGAAGUUGCCUAGAGAUAAGCUUGAUGAGGAAAUUCUAAGCUGUGAUGAGUACAGGAGAUGCAGUUAUUUGAU